rnacentral:tRNA from 1 species
CCAAAUGUAGCUUAACUAAAGCAUCUCUUUUACACCGAGAAUAUACUUGCGCAAAACAAGCCAUUUUGA